rnacentral:lncRNA from 1 species
UGUAACGACCCGACUUUUCCACGGCAAGAAGAAAUAGGAAAAUAAUUGAAGAACUUAAUUGAGCUGAAUAAACUUGCCAAUUUACCCAUUAAAUCGGGUAUGCAUAUCUAAAGAGAUAAGAUGAAAGGAGAUAAAAUGAAAGGCAUUAAGAGACGCUAAUCAAAUGACAAUAUUUGAACUCAGGAUCGCAUAAGUUUAGUUUCGUGACUCUGGUCAUAAUCAAUGAUAGCUUUAUUAAAAGAAAUAUGGGUUAAGAGUCUAAGUCCAACAAGAUAAUAUUAUACCACACAAUAGAAAUUCUCCAUUUAUGGGAUGGAGGAUGAGGUGACAAGAUAGUUAUUAGCGGAAGCAAAAGACAUCGUGGAACCUUAGCCUCAGCUCAGCCUCGUCUGCACCAACUGAUCAACCUGAAAACAUUUGAAAAUAAUUUGGGCUGAGUACUAAUGUACUCAGUGGGCACAAGUUUUCGAAAUAUUUUAUGAAAUGUUAAGGCAGUUUAUCCAAUAUCAAAGUCAUGACUUAGAAGGUUUUAAAACGAAAUCCCUCUUCUAAGCAUGACAAAAACAUUUUCUUGUCGAGGGCGCCCAUGUACGUUCGAUUGUUACUCACUUUCUCCCUACAUUCACUGAUCUCGGGACGCACCCAGUCAGAUCCAAAAUCUGUUAUUGAUCUCGGGACGCACCCGGUCGGAAUCUAUAACCUUAACUGUGCUCCGGAUAACCUCCUGUCAAGCACCGUGCUCCGGAUAACCUCCUGUCAAGCACCCACCCUUAUAACGUUCUAAAUCUGUUAGUGCACGAUGGUGAUCAACCCAUCGAGCCACUAACCCUGUGUACACAAUCCUCAUUUAGCGUGUUAGGCCAAAUGAGAAUCUCGAUCGAUACUUAAGUGAGCCUUAAACAAUUACAGAACGCACAUAAAAACAUUUAUAUUGGAUAAACAGAUAAUUUUCAUGAAAUAUCAGAGCUUAUGUAACUCAAGAUACAUUGUAUAUAAAAUAAAGCCCACCUGAAUAGGCAAAGCCUGUAGUUUAAUCGUAAACCCGUCACGGAAACGCAGUGCUAAUCCUCCUGAUCCUCAAGCCUACAAGAAAUCUAUUCUUAAUAGGUCUCUUGGUGCUAUUCUAACUUCUAAACAAAUAUGGGGAUUGCUAACUAUUGAUACACUUUGCCCGAAUAAGAAUUCAAUAAUAUCUUUAAGUGAAUCCAUAAACUUUUAAUACAUAAUUAAUAACUUAAUAGAUAUAAUUAAUAAUAGAUUUAAAACUUAUAAAAUGGUUAAUAAUUCUUAUUAAAACAUUUUCAGGCUCAAACUAAUAGUUAAAGUCCAAGAAAAAAUAAUUUAAAGACUUGCUAUAAAUAAUACAGCUCAAUUAUAAUAUUGAAAGUAACAAGCUCAUUUAAAUUAAUAAAAUCAGCCCACUCAUAAUGAUAGCAAUAGGCCCAUUCAUUUAAUAAAAUCUGUCCAUACUAAAAUAAUUAGUGAGGCCCAAAAUAAAAAUCAAAACUUACCCUAAAAUGUAGAACAAUUAAAACAACCUUAUCUCUCUCUCUUCUCACCUCUCCCCUCACGGUUCUCUUUCUCUCUCUCUCUAUAACUCCCUUUCUCUCUCUCUCACCAUCACCUUUCUCCCCUCCCUCAAACAGAUCCGCCGCCGCCGCUGCUUCAGCUCCGCGAAAGUGCCGGCAGCCGCGCCUCCCCCGCACGGCGACCUCUCUUCACGCGCGGGCUCCUUUUUCUCACCCAAAAUCGUUUCCCCUUCCCCUUCUCUCCACUCUCACCGCCCCUCUCUCUUCCUCCCUAAAUUUUCGCCGCCGCCGCCGCUAACAACCCCGGCGGAAUGCCGGAUCUGAGCCUCCUCACCAUCGCUUCCUCGCGUUUCCGGCAGCUGACGGCAAAGGAGGGCCCCCGCCGCUGCUGCUCCGUUCGCGCCGCGUCAGCGGCGCUUGGCCUUCGGCCACGCCGCCCCGGCCUGCCCACGACACCGCCUCGCUCCGACUCCGUCUGUUUGGCCGCGAGUGGCCGGCGACUGCUGCCCGCAUGCAGCGCCGGCAGCCGCGGCUGACAGCCCGCGUCAAGCUCGGACAGCCUCCCUUUCCUAUCGCCUCCUCGACUCUCACCCUCUCCGAAGGCUAGCAAGAAGGGUUCAGAUUUCAGAUGUAAAAAGAUUUGAUUUUUGGUUGAUUUGGAGUUUCUGAAGUUUACUGAUGAAAGCUGUCGAUUGGUUUUUGUUUUGAACUGAUCUUUCUUUUUCUCAUUCUUUGGUUUAAAGAAGAAUUGGUCUGUGAGUUCUAGGAAUGUUCAAGUUUUCUGUGUUUUCAUGGUUGUUUUGCAGAAUAUUUCUGAGCUUGACUGUUGUUGCUGGUAAAAUGAUAGAGGAAAAAUGUGAUUUUGAAAAAUGAAAAGAGAUGGAAAAGGAUUUGCAGAGCAGUAUGUCGAUUAGGAGAUUAUGCAAAGGAAAAUAGAUAGUACAAUGACAGUACACUAGUACAAUGGAACUAGUACAUCUCAGCUCUCACCCCAUUAUACAAACAUAUCUUAUGCAUUUGGGUUUGGG